rnacentral:rRNA from 1 species
GACGGAGGGUGCUAGCGUUGUUCGGAAUGACUGGGCGGAAAGGGCGCGUAGGCGGCUCGUGAAGUCGGGUGUGAAAGCCCGGGGCUCAACCCCGGAACGGCAUCCGAUACUGGCGGGCUUGAGACCGGGAGAGGAGGGUGGAAUACCCAGUGUAGAGGUGAAAUUCGUAGAUAUUGGGUGGAACACCGGUGGCGAAAGCGGCUCUCUGGCCCGGAUCUGACGCUGAGGCGCGAAAGCGUGGGGAGCAAACAGG